GGAUAGGGGUUCUGAGAGGAAGGUCCCCCACAUUGGAACUGAGACACGGUCCAAACUCCUACGGGAGGCAGCAGUGAGGAAUAUUGGUCAAUGGGCGCUAGCCUGAACCAGCCAAGUAGCGUGAAGGAUGAAGGCUCUAUGGGUCGUAAACUUCUUUUAUAUAAGAAUAACGUGCAGUAUGUAUACUGUGUUGUAUGUAUUAUAUGAAUAAGGAUCGGCUAACUCCGUGCCAGCAGCCGCGGUAAUACGGAGGAUCCGAGCGUUAUCCGGAUUUAUUGGGUUUAAAGGGAGCGUAGGUGGACUGGUAAGUCAGUUGUGAAAGUUUGCGGCUCAACCGUAAAAUUGCAGUUGAUACUGUNAGUCUUGAGUACAGUAGAGGUGGGCGGAAUUCGUGGUGUAGCGGUGAAAUGCUUAGAUAUCACGAAGAACUCCGAUUGCGAAGGCAGCUCACUGGACUGCAACUGACACUGAUGCUCGAAAGUGUGGGUAUCAAACAGGAUUAGAUACCCUGGUAGUCCACACAGUAAACGAUGAAUACUCGCUGUUUGCGAUAUACAGUAAGCGGCCAAGCGAAAGCAUUAAGUAUUCCACCUGGGGAGUACGCCGGCAACGGUGAAACUCAAAGGAAUUGACGGGGGCCCGCACAAGCGGAGGAACAUGUGGUUUAAUUCGAUGAUACGCGAGGAACCUUACCCGGGCUUAAAUUGCAGUGGAAUGAUGUGGAAACAUGUCAGUGAGCAAUCACCGCUGUGAAGGUGCUGCAUGGUUGUCGUCAGCUCGUGCCGUGAGGUGUCGGCUUAAGUGCCAUAACGAGCGCAACCCUUAUCUUUAGUUACUAACAGGUUAUGCUGAGGACUCUAGAGAGACUGCCGUCGUAAGAUGUGAGGAAGGUGGGGAUGACGUCAAAUCAGCACGGCCCUUACGUCCGGGGCUACACACGUGUUACAAUGGGGG
rnacentral:rRNA from 1 species